CUUUGAUAUCGUCAUCAUCUUCUUUGCAAUUCCAGUUUGAUCCCCCUAAGGCUGGGGUUCCAAUGCAUCACAUAUUUGACCAUAAAUGUAGCGGAUAUAGAAUGGGUGGUGUCGUAAGAGUUCUUGCAAGUCGAAACUUUUGAAAACCUCAGUAAUGCUAUUGGAAUCUUGGUCAUCUCCACAGAAUAUUCAGCCUCAAGCAUUUUGCCUGUGUUUUUAAUAAUAUUCCUGUCCUUGCACAAAAAAACUUACUUUGACUGAUCUUCAGUUCAAAAUUGUGUUACACGCACUGCUCCUUGUGUAAAAGGAGACCAGCUAAGCACUCUCUUCGAGAAUUAAAAAAUGGGUUCCAAGACCUGAUGCUUGUGUUCAAGGAAACCAGCUACACGAAGGCUCACAUACCUUCCUUCCUAGGAUGCUGUGUCUGAAGGUAUGUUUUUGGGCAUGCUUGACCUUUUUGAUAGAAUUGAAACCACGACAGCUGCAGAUGGUGUCCUUAAAUAUGAAUUUUGGAAAGUACUUAAUCCAUCCCAAAUUAUAGAACGUUUGACUUUUUUGAUACCAAGUUUGACCAUUUGUCUUAUUCAAAAAUUUGUACAAAAUAUCACUUUUUUUGUCGUGGCUUGGUUUAUUAAUAAAAGUUGUACAUGUAUUACAAACUUGG